AAAUAACCACACUCUACCAUUUGGUGCCAUGGGAUAGUUACAACUAACAUCCCACCCCUGAGCAAUCUUCCUUAUUAUACCUUGAGCUUUAUGCUCCUUUAUUCUUGUCUCCAAACAUCCAAAUACAUCCACUCUAUACUUGUGCAAAAACAAUCUCAGCUCUUUUUGCUUCAGGGCCUGGUUCAGGCCUCUAAUAUUCCAUGUUGCAAUGAUCAUGGGGGAUGGUGCACAACCCCAGGGUCCUCUGGCUCACCAGCAGUACCAGCAAUGGAGUCUUGCAACACAGCAAAACUAUUAGCAAUGGGAAUAGCAGCAGUCUGAGUAGCUUGGCCAGCACCCUGAGAGUUUGAUGCAGCAUCAUGUAUUGUAUUAACCACACUAUCAGCACCUGCAGUUUGAUUCUCUUCAGUAAUCUCCUGUAGCAUAUCAGUUUGAACAGGAGGAAUUUGUUUAGCCAACCAUCCUUGCCUAAUUGGCCUCCUUCUCCUUCUAUUCCUCUUUUUCCUUCUAGGAGCCCCCGGAUCUGCCGCAUGUUGAAUCUCCUCCUCUCCUCCAAUUUGACACUCCUCUGUAGAAUGCCCAAAUCUCAUACAGUGAGUACAAUAUCUAGGCCACCACUCAUAGUCCACCUCUUGAGAAAUGAUACCAGAGGUGGUAUUGAUCUCAAUGGAGUCAAUUAAAGGUUGAGAUACAUCAGUACGAACCAAUACCCUAGCAUAAGAGAUUUUUUUCCAUUGCUUCAGUGACCUUAUCAGUAUACAAUGGUUCCCCUACAAUACUGGCUAUCUUGCUCAGUGCUUCAGUCGACCAAUAUCCAACAGGCAAGUUAGGAAAGAUUACCCACAGCGGUAUUGUAGUCAAUCGAUCCGGGUCAAAUUCAAAAUCAAUUACCCAGUUUUGAACUAUGAAAGGUUUAUUGUGGAAGUUGUAAGGCCCUCCAUCAGAACCCUAUCACAAUCCUCAGGGUUAGCAAAAUGAAAGAUGAAGUAUCCUGAAUCAUGAGCUAAGACUUGAGGUUUUUCAGAGAAUUGCCAAGCAUGACAAAUGAAGCUCUCCAUGGUUUUCAUGAAAGGGGUAUCCCCAACCACAAAUCCAAUCAAUGCAUUCUUCCAGUACUCUACUUGCGAUUGUACAUCAUCCUCAAUAAUCGUUACACAUUUCUUACCCUGACGAGUGUUCGGAGCAACAUAAGUAAGUGUCUUACCUCUUUGAGCAACUCUAUUUGCACGGUAAUCCUUCUUUUCCACUGGCGUAGGUUGAGCGGAGGUCGCCGCUUCAGAAAAUUGGAGUCGUCGAGUCGCCGGAGAGGCAUCUGAGUUCCCAAAACCACGAAGAUUUAUCGACGUGUGCGAGUCCGAAUCCGAUUCAAUAAUUACUUCUUCCUCUGGUAAAGACUGAAAGUGGGGAGGGAGAUAGCUUCCAAAUGUUAAUGAAGUUAGUGCACGUUAGCACUCCUUUCCUAUCGUACGUUGAGAGAAAACAACAUGACCCCAAUUACUUGGUACGCUAGUGGAAUCCCUCGUCUAAAUCUUAUUUGCAUUUAUUGAGUUUUGUCUCUUUUCUCCCUCGAAUUCGAGAUAGCUUAGUGUUAGUCUUAAAUUUGUUUUGAAAGUAGUUUUCUUCCCUAUUAGGCUCUGUUCGAAUAAAUCUGUAGCUAUGUCUCUAAUUGAAUCAGUAGGAUUAUGUGAUUAAUGUUAAGAAUUUCUUGUUUCCUUUGAACACCAGUUAGUAGAAAACUUCUCUAUAUGUAUUCAAUAUGGACUUUGGAUAGUGAUAUGAUAUAACUGUUCAAAUGAUUAGCCUGUAGUUCAGUUAAAAGAAUAAGAAAUCUGGUUCCACUUCUUUUCAGGUGAUCAUGAUUUAUGUACCUUUGAACAUGUUAGAAUCUUUAGCUAUUGACAUGGUGUAGUUUGAAGAGUAGACAAGUCAGCCUAGUUUAAUUGACAAUUUUGUGAGUGUUUCAGCAUUACUUGGUUCCUGGAAUAUGUUGGUUUGACUAUGUUUUCCUUUCCUCAAGAAUAGAGGGGUGGUAGAGUUAAAGUAUGUUCAUGUGUUCAACUAGCUCAUCCUAUACUAAAAGCUUAAAAGAGUUAUGUUAUAGGUACUGCUACCUGCUCACGUGUUAAUAUUUGGUUCUUAAGUUAAUUUAAAAGUUCUGUGGUCUGGUAGCAUUUGAUCUAUGUGUGAGUCUUCUGACCAAACUGAUUGAAAUUCCACAAUCCUAGUUCUGCCAUAUUUUUGUUCAGACAUGAAGUUCUAAAGCAAAAUAUGCUAUGUGUUCAAAGAUAGAGUACUACUAAAUGAGUUUUAAUAAAUCUUAAUACAUGUUUCGUUGAGGUUCUAACUUGUUAAAGUUUGAAGAAUUUUUUUGUUUCAAACUGAACAUUUGUGUGAUAUGUUAAAUGAUUAGAAAGUUCAUUUUACUAAAUUUACAGCUUGUAUCCUCCAUCUCCACUUGUAAUGUGUCCACAAUAUCGAUUAAUGUGCUAUGUUCCAGUUAGUAUGAUAAUUUGUAUUCUGGUUGUCACUCCCAUUUUUGGGGGGUUUUAUAAAAAACAAAUGUUGUUGGGAAUUACUUUAGGUGUUUGGUCUUAAGUCUAAUUCAAAUACGUUUGGCUGUUGGUAUGAUUAACCUUUGCUUUUGUGCUCUUGGGAAUAAAAUUUGGUUCUUAAAGAUGACUUAAGGAUGCAGCAGAUUAGUGUGUUUUUGUAUUUGGUAUAUAAGCUCCUUAGUAGUUUCAUCAUAAGUCCCCUUUUCUUUGGUUUACUUUUCUCUGUUUGCCUAGAGAAUGAUCUUGUGUAUGCUGAGAUAAUGUAUCUUUCAAAGGCGUGUUUCCCUCUAUCCGGACUAGUGCGUUCUGAAAUAACUAAAAUUGGUCUCUCUAUGUUGUUUGUUAAGCAUGAUUGACCUUGAUCACUUGCAGUUUCAAUUUGAUACAUCUUCCUCUUGAAUUCUAAUUCAAUAAUACUCAUUUUUCUUCAGUUCCUUCCUUCACCAGUAAACAUGAUGGAGAUUAGCUCUUUAAAAGGUUGCAAUGCCUAUGUUUUAAAGUUCAGUUAAGCUAUGAAUAUUUGCAAUAUGAUAACCUUUUUAACCUCCCUCCUGUUAAAUAAAUGUACCUCCCAUUUGUAUUUUAACAAGACUACAACCAUAAAUCUUCUUCUUUCUUUAAAUCUUUGUGACUAGUUAGAUAAAGGUAGAAAUUUGGGUUAUCAUGUUUACGUGCUCUAAAUUAAAUCUAUUUGGAUGAAAUAUAUGAUAGGGUCUUAAAAGCUGAAUCUGAUUCUAUGUCCCAGCAGGCCAAAAUAGUUAAACUGAAAAUUUGUUUGUUUUGAUUGUUUCAAUAAGUGUUUGUUGCAAUACUGAAUGUGACACUUUCACUGUCACAUUUGAUAGCUAGUUCAGUCCUUUCCUUGUCUUUUAUGUUUGCUGGUUUGUAGAUUCUGAUUUGGGCCUUUAAUAAAAUGGUUUUUAUAAUGCAUUAUCCUCAUUUUGUUUCUUUCUCUGCUAGGAAUUGAUAUGACAUAGUGAUAAAGCAUUUGCCGGAUGGGAAUUGGCUAAAAUAAACUUCAAGAUUCCUUCACUUUGUUUUUAAAAAAAAAAAACUUGAAUGAGUGUUACUCCUAACUCACACGAUUCUCUCUAAGUCGGUUUAUCUCUCUGAUCUUAACUGAUGUUUAAAUAUCAUUUAAUUCAAAGGCAGUUAAAUGACAGAAUCUAUUAAUUUGAAGUAAUGUGUGUUCUAAGUUUGAGUUUUCUUUUGUUUAGUCUUAAUAGUGUUUAUCAAAUAUCUUGGAAAGUUAUUUGCCCUAUGUGUGGUUGAUUUUUUCAGAAUGUUAGUCCCUUAUGAGAUUUUAUUUAGUGAUGUUCAUGACCCUAACUCUUUACUAUGUUUCAUCCACCAUAAGUCUAUGAAUCUCCAUGAAUCUAUGUCCUUAGAACAACAGGAUUUUUUAAACCAGUCAAGUGUAGAUCCCUGGUUCCUUUUCCCUACAAGUCUGAAAUUUGUUUUACUCAGUGUCAGUUCAACUGCAUAGCAUGCUAAAUAGUUAAAGGAUGUGUGUUAAAAUUCAAUUUUCCUAUCUAAACCUCUUAGUGACUGUUUAGUUUCAAAUGAGUAAAUUUCCUGUCAAAGGAUAGAAAAGUUCAUAGUAUCAUGUGUAGUCACUAUUUUUGGUAAUGAGAAACAAUUUGAAUAGGCUCUAUUUUGGCAUUCUUAAAAUGAGGUAGAACAGUGGAUUGAUAAGGCUCUUCUCUUCCUUUAAGAUUCAGUUCCAAAUCUGAAAUUCUAUUUAAACUGAUGCUUAUUUAUGUGCUUAAAGGAAAAUAUGUCUUCCUAAACAAUUAGUAGUAAUUUUUGUAGCAAACUUGUGUGUUCUGAGAUAGUUAAUUAGCUUCAGGAUAAUGCUAGCUCUAGAGUGAUUUGUUACUCUGAUUGAAGUUGUCUUAGUUUAAGCAUUGUCCUGUUUGAAAGUCUUUUUUUCUGUCCAUUGUCUACAUUGGCAUUCACUCACAAAAUUUUCUAAGUUUAGAAUAAUUUUCAGCAUCUUUAAAACUAUCCCUUUGAGUGAUUUCCUCACUGGCAUUUUCACUGCCUCUGUUUCUUAUCUUACUGUUUGAAAGCCAGGGUAGUUUUGGGUCUAGUUUGGCCUCCUCCGAUAGCCUACCAUGCCUAAGGUUCUAGAAACCUUCGGAUCUUGUUGUGGCAUUGGAAACAUGGAUGGUGGUAGCCCCCUUGCUGUCUUAUCUUUCAAGUUUGCUGCUUAAGACUGAUGCUUGAUGGCCAGUCUCUAAAUUCAUUUUGGUGCACAUUGUGUUUAGAGGAAAUCCCUACUUUCUGGUAAUCACAUCAUAAAUUGACUAUUCAGUUUCUUGUAACAAUAAGCUCCCAGAUUUCUAGCUUUAAAGAAUUUAUCCUUGCCCUCUCUUAGUUUACAACAUCUGGAGACUUUUGGUCUAUUUUAUGAACUAUUUUGAUGGUUUUAAACUUGAUUCUUUUGUCACAUUAACUAUUUCCUAAGUUUAAACCAGGUUGUGACAAUUAGUGAAGUACCUCAUUUGAUAAAAAAAAAAAUCCCUUUACCUCUUGAUACUCAUCUUUCUUGACCUUUCUCUUUCUUUGCAUGAAUUGGGGGGAGAGGGAUAUCCUAAGGUGUCCAUCCCUUUCAUUUCUCUUUAAACUCUAAUCUAUGAUUCAAUGCCUUUCCCCUUUCCCUUAUGUGUUUGUGGCCUUGUUUAGCUAUGAAGGUAUCAUAUUUUGGUUUAGUUUGAGACAGAGAGAAUGACCUGAAUUCAGAUGCUUUGUCCUCAGGGCUUUGUGGCAUUAGAAUAUGACCAGUUUGCCUUCUUUAGCAGUAUGUGUAAUGCCUUGCACCCCCUGGACUUUAAAUUUUGAGAUAUUCAAAAAUGAUAAUGGUCCAAGUUUCUUUGUGAUUGAUAUACUUAAGGAUCCGGGAGGAGCUGUAUGUAUUGUAAAGAUCCUCUGCAUGUUAGCUGUUAACAAAAUAUUUUGUAGCUCCUACUUGUUCAUAUUUUCUCAAAAGUAAGUUGUCCAUUCACUUGAUUCAACCUUGUAUGCUUAACAAACUGAUUUUGCAAAUCCGGGAGGAGCUGUAUGUAUUGUGAAGAUCCUCUGCAUGUUAGUUGUUAACAAAAUAUUUUGUAGCUCCUACUUGUUCAUAUUUGCUCAAAAGUAAGUUGUCCAUUUACUUGAUUCAACCUUGUAUGCUUAACAAACUGAUUUUGCAAAGCCAUAAGCUUGAAAGAUUUUUCUUUUGGACAUAAUUAGUAUUGUAAAAUCCCACUUGCUAUCAUCUUUCUGCCUUCUGAAAAGAAACUGAUUGAGAACAAGUAAAGAGAAUGAGUGUGAGUCCAGCACUGAUGAAGGAAAAAUGGACAAAAUGGUCUUAGCUUGAACUUUGCAUAAUCAUAUCUGUUCAACUCUUUAAAUUUAGAUAAGCUAUCUUUGCCUAUCCUUCACUAUUUUCUAAAUUAAACCAAGUUAAUGAUAGAGCAAACAGAAUUUGAUACUAAAUUCGAGCACCCCCAUGUCUUUCCAGGUUCUGCUUUAGCUUCUUUGCUCAAAUACUAUAGUUGUGAUAUAUUUGGGAGUUAUUGGGGUUGCUGUUAUUCUUGUUUUAAGUUCAUGUGAUUGGCUUCUGUGACUGGAAACAUUAUCUAUAAAAGGUUGGAAUCAUCAUGAGCUAUCCAGUAUUAUAUAUGCCAAACUGGAACUGCUGGUUUAAACAAUGUCUCCUAGCCCUCUUCUUCUACUUGAUUGUCAUGAACAUAUGAGAAAAGCAGUAUAAGUCCACCUUAGUGAGAGUCUACAAUAAAAUAGCUUUUAUUCUGAUCUUUGUGAAGUAUCUAUUGCAUUUUUUUUAUUCUGAUCUUUGUGAAGUAUCUAUUGCAUUUUUUUUAUCAUAUGAGGUUGUUAAAAUGCCCAUUUAGUUUUACAUUCAAAGGUGUUAAAUUUCAGACAGUGACAGUUGAUUAAAUACAAUUCUUAUCUGUUUCUUUCUUUCUAAAUAUGCCCAAGUACAGACCUGAACCAGUUUGUAGAACUUAAACCAAAGUAUGUUAUCUUAAGCACCAAAGCAUCUUGUUAGAACUCGUGUUCCUGGAUACUUAUUCUCCAUUCCUCUUUUUCUUUGCAUGACUUGGGGGGAAACUGCCCAAAUCCUAAAUGUUCAUGAGCUGCUGCUGAAGCUGAAUUCCUGCUGCACUUUGAAAUUUAACUAUUGAUUGCUGUUGUGUUGCUCUGAAUUGCUGCAACUUGCCGGCUGCACUUUGAGAAAGAUGUUGCCAUGUUCUUUUGGAUAAGUUGUUGCAUUAUAAGACAAACAGAUACUACACUUGAGAGAGAUGGUAUUUCUAGAGGCAGUUGGCUGCUCAAUUCGCCUCAUUUAACUGUUGCUUUCACUUAAAAGGAACAGAUCCUGCCUUUGACUAAGGAAUGGUUGCGUGUUAACAUAUGCUACUACAAAAAUUUGUUAUCUUCAAGAGGAGUUGGUUGUUGACUUUUGAAAGGGCUGGUUGCUCUAGUUUGAUAGCUCAUAACUGGUUGUUGAACUGUUGCCUUGUUGCUGCAUUUGUGGGGAUGAAUUGAGUGGUAUCCUGGAAACAUUUUGGAGCAAGAAGUACUGCAGUUUCCGCAGAUAUGUGGCUAUAGUUUUGAGACAAUUUGCUAUGGUGUUUCGAGAAAUAAUCUGCCAUAUUUUAGGUAGAUUUGAUGCUAAAAUAACUGCAGAAUUUUGGGUCAUUUGUUGUUAUGUCUGGGACAAAUCCUUCUUUUGUUUAAAGGCAAAUAUCUGCUAUGUUUUGUUGAAGUUUAAGGUGUUAGUACUGCACGACUGAAGCAUUUUUGCUGGUAUACAGAUGUUACAUCUUGAUGAGGAACACAUUGCUACACUUGAUGAAAAUCUUACUAAUUUGAACUUGAUACUACCUACACCUAGGCCAAUGAAAAAAUGAUUUUUCGAGGCCAUGCCUAGUCCGCAAAGGUGAUCCCUCAGUUUAGGAUGAUCUCGCAUUCAUAUCACGAGGUAGGAACCAACAUGCGCCUGACAAGGCAACUAGAAUGGUAACUAGUUUGCAGCCGCGACAUGGUUCAAGUCCCUUUUCCAUAUUCGGAACCUUGAGUUUGAGCCUCCGUAAUCAAAGCUCCCAAAGUUUGAUACGAGUCCGAGGGAUAUUAUUAUAUUCAUAAACGUCACCCUAUGGUAGUGUAUCAUUUGACUAACUAUUUUCAUUUCAUUCUUGCGAGGUACAUCUAAUCAAUAUGGGUCCGCAAGAUGAGAUUCUACCAAAGACGAAAGUGAAGUAAAGCUGAAGGCCCGACAACUUGGAUGAAGGACUAGAAGAUCACAAAAGAACGAGAGAAAGGUUGCUGAAUGAUUUGGGCCCAAGGCCAUAAAAAGCUAAAUUUUUCUUCCCCUUCUUGUAGUACAGUUUUACAUUAUUUUCUGUGUGAACAUGCAAAUACAUUUGUAUAGAUAUUGAAACCCCUACAGGUUAGAACCUAGGAUUUGGAUAGACGAUGUUUCAAAACUAUAUCCAAAUAAUAAAAGAGUUGUAUUCCACUUGAUUAAAAUAAAUAAAA